CUUCACCGAGCCCAGCCACAGCGGGCGUUCGGCGUCGCGGUCCUGGCCGUAGGUGGCGAGGAGCGCCUGCGCCUC
rnacentral:antisense_RNA from 1 species